UACGUAGGGUGCAAGCGUUGUCCGGAAUUACUGGGCGUAAAGGGCUCGUAGGUGGCCAACUAAGUCGGACGUGAAAUCCCUCAGCUUAACUGGGGAACUGCGUCCGAUACUGGAUGGCUUGAGUUUGGGAGAGGGAUGCGGAAUUCCAGGUGUAGCGGUGAAAUGCGUAGAUAUCAGGAGGAACACCUGUGGCGAAGGCGGCGCACUGGACCGCAACUGACGCUGAGGCGCGAAAGCGAGGGGAGCAAACAGG
rnacentral:rRNA from 1 species